AUGUUUAAUUUUAAUUUUUAUAUAUGUAUCUUAAGCGUAUCGUAUCCUAGAUUUGUCAAUGACCGGCAUAUCUACGUAUCGUAUUUGAUUCCUGUAUCAUGUCCAUGCUUCAUUGGCCGUAUUUUUCCUUUUGCAAUUGGAAAUUGGAAGAUCUUUCAUUUCAUCUCAUCGAUUCGAUCAAAUUCCAUACUAUGA